rnacentral:rRNA from 1 species
UACGUAGGGUGCAAGCGUUGUCCGGAAUUAUUGGGCGUAAAGAGCUCGUAGGCGGUUUUGUCGCGUCGCUGUGAAAACCUGGGGCUCAACCCCGGGCCUGCAGCCGAUACGGGCAAACUAGAAUUCGGUAGGGGAGACUGGAAUUCCUGGUGUAGCGGUGGAAUGCGCAGAUAUCAGGAGGAACACCAAUGGCGAAGGCAGAUCUCUGGGCCGUAACUGACGCUGAGGAGCGAAAGCAUGGGGAGCGAACAGG